UCGAACUCAACGCCCUUCCUUCUUCCAGAACUGUCUAUCAGAGAAAUGGAAACUUGUUUUUUCGCACAUCUAUCCAAACGGCAACAAGCAUGGAGCAGAAACAACUUGAUUCAGCCAAAGCCAAGCUAAAGAAUCUGAAUUCUUCGUCGUAGUCAUAUGCUAGAACUUUGGUGGUUCAGUAGAAAUGCUGCAUUUUCCUGUGAGAUGAGGGCGAUAAGAACAUGUUAUAUGUUAUCACUUGGAGACUUCAUUUUCUAAAGAGCUGUUACGUCCUAGAUACUCUAAAUUACAUAAAAUGCAUUCACUCCAAUGAUACUGUUCUCGGUUGCAAAAUAAACGUCUCAUGAAUACAUCAAAAUACUUAACCAACCUUUAUGAAUUUUGUUCUUCAUGAUGGUUUAUUUUAAUUUGUAGUUUGUUUUUUGAUUGCUUGCUUGACAUUUUAUCAUUGUUGUGUAAUUUAUGAAACAUAUGUAGCUUUGUCCAUUUCAAUAGAAAAUUGUUCACCCCGCCCCAAUACAUA